AAUCAGUUUUGUCGAAAUAUAAUAAUUUAUACAACUUGGACAAUGUCAUCUCAUUGGGAAAAUAUAAUCAAAAAACCAAAGUAAAGGUCAUUUUUGCGGUGAAUAAAGUUUAUAGAAAAUCCAAUAAAUUUAGUGUAAUGUAUUCAGUCAAAUCGAAGGCGAAAGUAGAUUGCGAACCCCAUUAAGAAUAGUUUCCGAUUAGAUAAUGCGAAAAAAAAUCUAUCCCCUUAAAAUCGGGAUGGGGAGGGUUCCGGAUACUUGGACUUCCCUGUAACUACGGCUUCGGCUAUCCCAAAUAAAAUUAUUCGGCACGCCGUAUAAAAAAAAACCUUACUUGAUUGAUUGCAGCUCUGUUGUCGCAGCUCCGUGUACGAAUAACGUUAUCUGAAAGGACAAUAUUGAAGUCGCGUGAAAGUCGAUAAAUUCCUAUAAGGGAACGAGCUUUUGC